rnacentral:rRNA from 1 species
AGGACGAACGCUGGCGGCGUGCUUAACACAUGCAAGUCGAACGCUGAAACCGGGUGCUUGCACUGGGUGGAUGAGUGGCGAACGGGUGAGUAAUACGUGAGUAACCUGCCCUUGACUCUGGGAUAAGCCUGGGAAACUGGGUCUAAUACUGGAUACGACAUGUCAUCGCAUGGUGGUGUGUGGAAAGGGUUUUACUGGUUUUGGAUGGGCUCACGGCCUAUCAGCUUGUUGGUGGGGUAAUGGCUCACCAAGGCGACGACGGGUAGCCGGCCUGAGAGGGUGACCGGCCACACUGGGACUGAGACACGGCCCAGACUCCUACGGGAGGCAGCAGUGGGGAAUAUUGCACAAUGGGCGAAAGCCUGAUGCAGCGACGCCGCGUGAGGGAUGACGGCCUUCGGGUUGUAAACCUCUUUCAGCACGGAAGAAGCGAAAGUGACGGUACGUGCAGAAGAAGCGCCGGCUAACUACGUGCCAGCAGCCGCGGUAAUACGUAGGGCGCAAGCGUUGUCCGGAAUUAUUGGGCGUAAAGAGCUCGUAGGCGGUUUGUCGCGUCUGCUGUGAAAGCCCGGGGCUUAACCCCGGGUGUGCAGUGGGUACGGGCAGACUUGAGUGCAGUAGGGGAGACUGGAAUUCCUGGUGUAGCGGUGAAAUGCGCAGAUAUCAGGAGGAACACCGAUGGCGAAGGCAGGUCUCUGGGCUGUUACUGACGCUGAGGAGCGAAAGCAUGGGGAGCGAACAGGAUUAGAUACCCUGGUAGUCCAUGCCGUAAACGUUGGGCACUAGGUGUGGGGAACAUUCCACGUUUUCCGCGCCGUAGCUAACGCAUUAA